rnacentral:misc_RNA from 1 species
AUCUAGAUCAAAUUCAUCAUCCCUACAAAUUUCAUUUAGAUUUGAUAUAUUAUAAUUAAAACAACAGAAUAAAAAUCAUACCAAUUCACAAUAUUUAAUUAUGCUAACAACCUACAAAAUUCAAAGCCUUGUUAUGUGAGUAUGUUACUUAAGGGCCUGAAAAACAGGUCCAUCAAUCAUUGAUCAAAAAUUCAUAUGAUUGGACACCAAAUAAACCAGGGAAUGUGCGUGCAUUUGUGCAUUACAUAUUUUAGAAACAGAACAUUUUUAAUGUAUUUGUAACCAAUAUGUUUUUAAUAAUUCAUUUAUCAACAUCUUCUGUCAAUAAAAGGCCAUUGCCAAAUUAUGGUCCCACCAAAACGGGGUCCUGCAAAGAAACUUUGGAGACAGUACAUUACCAAAUUAGCAGGAAGUUACUUUAAGAAACAAAUCUGCACCCUUGUGGUUGCAAUUAUAAAACAUUUCCCAUGGCAUUAAAAAAAUGACUUUAUCUAUCAAAAGGAUAUACCAAUAUAUAAAAUAAAAAGGUAAACAAGUGGAAAUAACCAAAUUAAAGCCAAAAUAAAAUUCACUGCAAUACUUUUGGUCAGCACGAUCAAAUGUUCAGCAGUUAAGAUCAUUCAAUCCAACAAACAUACCACUAAAUACCUAUCCAAUAGUGGCACAGUUUCUUUUUAAUUAUAAAAUCACAAAUUACAUAAACCUUCCCAUAAUUAUGUAUUUGUGAGGUUAAUUUGCCAAAGUUGCUUGCUUCUUCUUCUAUGAUAAAAAUACAAUAGCAAAAGGCAUCAUAAGGAAUUACAGUCUUCAAAGAAGAUUACGAAUACCAAAACCUUCUAUUUUCCUAUUGAUUUUUUUUCAUAAAAAGAACUACACUAUUUGCUAAAUUGAAGACCAAAUAGAAAACACAAAAAUAUAUCACAAACUUACCCUGUUCCCUUAAGUAUGAAUUAAAGGAAAAACAGAAAAAUAAAAUACGGUAUACCUGUUCAGUCUAUUA